rnacentral:lncRNA from 1 species
CAGCGUCUCAAGUACGAUUGCGCGAAUUGGUAAAUAUAACUCCGCACGACCACGCAACUCGAAACACAAGUACGCAAACACGGUUGCGUGAAGCGUGGCUCGCAAUCGUGAAAUUUACGAGACUUGCUCGACCUGUAGAUUCUUGUGGGAGGAAUGAGAGGCACUUGGCCGGUGGCUGCGAGGUUGACAGGUUGGUGUUGGUGGUUAGUACCGUAAAUGGCGGUUAAUUUCUUCGAAAUUAAUUUUUAUUUCAACUAAGUUUGGAAGUAUAGUAAAAAGUUACCACCACUUGUUUCCUGGAGUAAGGAUGGGAGUACCAUCAGUGGAAGAGGAAUAAAAAAUUAACCGCCGUUUGGAAGAAAACUAACCCUCAUGUGAUGUCGUACCCACCUUGACUACCUAGGGAAGCCACCUUGACCUUAUUGCAGCUACCGCCAAGUCAAACUGGGAGUAUGUUUUGGGAACAAGCUUUUUGGGGGACAUUCCAGCUCCUUUUCGUCCUGCCACCUGGGCCUACGGGGGGCAUGGAGGUGCAUCAUAGUGAUGCUCAUUUUCUAGGAUGCAACCGCAACCUCGUUUGGGAACAUUUAGUGAGGAGUUUUA